GCGCCCCCGCUGCGUCCCCGAUGCAGCCUCCGAGCCGCGCGGCCUCCGGGUGGCACUUUGCAGACGCUUCCUGGGCCGCAGCGAGACUCUAUUGUGUCGCCAGAGCCGGAAACGGUGCGAGUGGCGGGGGCGAAGCUCGGUCCCCGGCCCCGGGGCGCUGGGGUCCGCCGCAGGUCGCAGCCACCUCCCCCCGGGACGGCCGCCCCGGCCUUCCCGGGGCAGAGGCCGCGGGACUCCACGCAGGGCCUCCCACCCGGGGCUGCGAGGUCGCCCUCUCGGUUCCCCCUUAGCCCCCCAUCAGCCCGGGACGGUUUAGUGGUGACAGUGACGGAGAGGGACCUGCCCAGCCCGCGGCCAGGAGCCCCGCAGAGCGCGCAGGGCCCGGGUGGGAGGAAAACCCAGGGGGACUUCGCGGAGGAGCCGGCCUGCGGGGGAGCACCGGUAGCCUCCACUCGCGGCCUCCCCCUUCCUCUCCUUCUUAAAAAAAGAAAAAGAAAGAAAGAAAAACCUCCUCAGAAGACAAAUAAAGAUCGACAGGAGGUGCGAGUUCUGGUCUGUAAGUGUGCAGGCCACGUGACCCUUAAAACUUCUGUCCUGCUCUCUCCAAAGCCCUGUGUGUGCGCAUGGCCAGUCCCGGAAACCCCAGAGGAGCCCAAGGAGAAAAUGAAAAUCACCUGCGUUCCCAGCCUCCACAGACUCGCACGGAACAUGCCGGGUUUUAUGAUUAGGGGACUUUUACUCACAGCGACGCGCAGACCUGAAGCAGGGGGUUGAUGGAUUUGACAAAAGGUCACGCCCGUGUGUGCAGCCCUCCAAUGGAGACCGAGAACAUUUCCAUCGCCUCAGAAAUUCCCCUUGGGUCCCCUCCCAGUGAUGCCCAGCCCCCACCCACGGCGACCCCCCCUCUGAUGUCCGUCGCCAUGAAUUAGUUUUGCCUGCGCCCUAAUUGGAGUCACAUGGCCCAUGUGUACUCCUCGGAGUCUGGUUUCUUUCACUCGGCAUUAAUAAUGCGCUCAGAGUCAUCCAGGCUCCCUCCGCCUGUCCCUUUUUAUUGCUGAGUAGUGCUCCACAGUGCGCUGAACCCCCGGGCCUCCCCGAACUUGGGAGGAUCGGGUGGGUGUCUCCUCCUGGAGGCUGUCAUGAGUGAAGCUACUUGCGAACAUCAGUGGACAAGUCUUCAUUUUUUCUUGAGCAAAUUCUUAAGAGUGGGAUACCUGGGUCCCGGGAUUAGCUUUUGUAAGCGAUCACCAACCAACCAAAGAGUCGGGCUGUUUUGUCUCCACGUAGCUGAACCAGGGUCUUGCUGUUAUUAAGUCUCCUUCACACCUCAGAUACAUGGAGGGGGUGGGGAUGAGACGCGGCUCAGUGACAGAGUGUGUUUCCAACAUGCUCAAGUUUGGGAUUCGUCUCCCCUAAAAAAUAAAUCUGGGCCCAAAGCACAUUUUUCUGCAAUUUGCUUCUUUCAUGUCCACAAAUAGAGCUCAGCUCUUUCUAUGUCGGCAGGUGCAGCCCUUGUUCCUCCUGGAACCUGGCCCCCAGGACACUCUGUCAUGUGUCCCCCGUGGGUGGACACUCAGGUUGCUCCCCAGUUCUCAUCCUGGACAGUGUCCUGUAUUUAUGCUCCUCUCCUCGGGCACCGUGUUUCUCUGGGACAGUAACCCACAAAGAAAUGGCUGGGUUCAGGGUCUGCACAUUCUAAAU
rnacentral:lncRNA from 1 species